rnacentral:lncRNA from 1 species
AAUUUCCAUUUUAUUUCCCUUUUAUUUACUUUUUAUUUACCUUUCAUUUCCCUUUCACGUCUUUUUAUUUUCUUUUAUUUCCUUUUUAUUUCCUUUUUAUUUCCUUUUAAUUUCCAUUUUAUUUCCUUUUUGUUUCCUUUUUUCCCUUUUAAUUUCCUUUUCAUUUCCCUUUUAUUUAACUUUCAUUUUUUAUUUCGUUUUCAUUUCCCUUUUAUUUCCUUUUUAUUUCUCUUUAAAUUCUCCUUUAUUUCCCUUUUAUUUCUUUUUUAUUUCCCUUUAUUCCCCAUUUCAUUUAUUUUUAUCUCCUUUUUAUUUCCUUUUAAUUUCCAUUUUAUUUCCCUUUUAUUUACUUUUUAUUUCCCUUUCAUUUCCCUUUCACGUCUUUUUAUUUUCUUUUAUUUCCUUUUUAUUUCCUUUUUAUUUCACUUUCAUUUCCCUUUUAUUUCCUUUUUAUUUCCUUUUCAUUUCCCUUUUAUUUAACUUUCAUUUUUUAUUUCGUUUUCAUUUCCCUUUUAUUUCCUUUUUAUUUCACUUUUUGUUUCUUUUUAUUUCCCCUUUAUUCCCCAUUUCAUUUAUUUUUAUCUUCUUUUUAUUUCCUUUUAAUUUCCAUUUUAUUUCCCUUUUAUUUACUUUUUAUUUACCUUUCAUUUCCCUUUCACAUCCUUUUAUUUCCUUUUAUUUCCUUUUUAUUUCAUUUUUAUUUCCUUUUAAUUUCCAUUUUAUUUCCUUUUUGUUUCCUUUUUCCCCUUUUUAUUUCCUUUUCAUUUCCCUUUUAUUUAACUUUCAUUUUUUAUUUCGUUUUCAUUUCCCUUUCAUUUCCUUUUUAUUUCCCUUUAAAUUCUCCUUUAUUUCCCUUUUAUUUCUUUUUUAUUUCCCUUUAUUCCCCACUUCAUUUAUUUUUAUCACCUUUUUAUUUCCUUUUAAUUUCCAUUUUAUUUCCCUUUUAUUUACUUUUUAUUUCCCUUUCAUUUCCCUUUCACGUCUUUUUAUUUCCUUUUAUUUCCUUUUUAUUUCCUUUUUAUUUCCUUUUUAUUUCCUUUUAAUUUCCAUUUUAUUUCCUUUUUGUUUCCUUUUUUCCCUUUUUAUUUCCCUUUUAUUUAACUUUCAAUUUUUAUUUUGUUUUCAUUUCCCUUUUAUUUCCUUUUUAUUUCCCUUUUAUUUCUUUUUAUUUCCCCUUUAUUCCCCAUUUCAUUUAUUUUUAUCUUCUUUUUAUUUCCUUUUAAUUUCCAUUUUAUUUCCCUUUCAUUUCCCUUUCACGUCUUUUUAUUUCCUUUUAUUUCCUUUUUAUUUCCUUUUUAUUUCCUUUUAAUUUCCAUUUUAUUUCCUUUUUGUUUCCCUUUCAUUUCUUUUUAUUUCAUUUUUGUUUCCAUUUUAUUUCCCUUUUAUUUCCCUUUAAUUUCCCUUUUAAAAUCACAUUACCACCAACGCUGAGCAAGGACACACCAGGGC